rnacentral:rRNA from 1 species
ACUUCGUGCCAGCCCAAUCCUGAUCCGGAAGCUAAGCAGGGUCGGGCCUGGUUAGCACUUGGAUGGGAGACCGCCUAGGAAGACCAGGUGCUGUAGGCG